CAAUAGCGUAUAUUAAAGUUGUUGCAGUUAAAAAGCUCGUAGUUGGAUUUCUGGUGGGAGCGAUCGGUCUGGCGCUUAGCGCGAGUACUUGCAUCGUCUCCGGCCAUCCUUGGGGAGAGUCUGUCUGGCAUUAAGUUGUCGGGCAGAGGAUCCUCAUCGUUUACUGUGAAAAAAUUAGAGUGUUCAAAGCAGGCUUAUGCCGUUGAAUAUAUUAACAUGGAAUAAUAAGAUAGGACUUUGAGUCUAUUUUGUUGGUUUGUGAAUCAAAGUAAUGAUUAAUAGGGACAGUUGGGGGUAUUCGUAUUUCAUUGUCAGAGGUGAAAUUCUUGGAUUUCUGAAAGACGAACUACUGCGAAAGCAUUUACCAAGGAUGUUUUCAUUAA
rnacentral:rRNA from 1 species